UCCUAAAACAAAGGUUCAUUAGGACUCGUCCCUGCUGACAACUUUCACGAAGACCCUCCUUUUCGAGCCCGUCCAGUCCUCUUGAGUCCUGCUUCAGUUAAAUACUCAUCUCUGAAGCAGACAAUCAUCCAGCUCAGAAGUCAUUAUGCUGUUGCUCCAGAAAGAGUCUUGAAGACAGAUGCAGCCAGAAACUUAAAAAUAUGCCAUCAAAGGCCCUUUUGAGUCUUAUGAAUAUCUACUACAGGUCUUCUAUUAGACUGUAUUUUCAGAAAGUAGAUCACAAACAUUUUUGAGGAGAUUUUAGCUUAAUAAGACCAUAGAAAUGGAACGCACCAUUAUAUUAGUUAAGGAAGGGAAACUGUUGUAACAAAUAGAAUAACAAAUCCAAGGUAGUUCCAGGUAGAGUUCCAGGUGAAGGAAGAUUCUGCUCUGUAUAUCAUUUAGUGACCUAGACUACUGGGGAUUCUAAGAACUCUAAUAAGGGGCUUCCAGAGUUGCUCUGGGCAUGGAUAUGUGUCCAGUGUAAGGGAAAGCAGCUACAGUACCAGACCUCUACACCAGUUCUAGACCUUCAGUGAUUGAUGUAUGUGUCACCUUGGCCUCCACCACAUACAUCUACUGUCUACUCUACCACUCAGUAGAAAGUUAUUCAAGUCCAUCAAGUUCCUAACUCUUAACAAAACAUCUACCCCGGGCUGGGGAUGAGGCUCAGUUGGUGCUAUGCAUGCCUGGCAAGCACAAGGUCCUGAGUUUGAUCCCCGAUACUGCAAAACAAAAAAAAAACCACCCAUCUACCCCAUGCCAAGCCUGGCUUAGGUGCCACAAGAGAUCACAAAA